UUAGUCUUUUAAUAGAAGGCUGGAAUGAAAGGUUUAACGAAAAAUUAGCUGUCUCAAUUAUAAACUUGAAUUUAGCUUUUAAGUCAAAAGGCUUAAAUUUAUUUGAUGGACGAGAAGACCCUAUAGAGCUUUACAUUUUAAUGAAUAAAUUUAUUUGGAUUAAUAAUUUAAAUUCAUUUAUUUGAAUGUUUUGUUGGGGUGACAAGAAAUAUAUAAUUAACUUUUAUUAUUAAAUUUACAUUAAUAUAUGAUUAUUGGAUCCAUUAUUAUUGAUCAAUAGAUUAAGUUACCUUAGGGAU
rnacentral:rRNA from 1 species